AUGAUAUUUGCAGCACAUAUAUCAAAAUUGGAAUAAUAGAGAGAAGUUUGGCAUGGACCCUGUGAAAGGAUAGCACACAAAUUUGUGAAGUGUUCCAACUUCUU